GUGCUCUUUGGCAGCACAUACACUAAAAGCGGGUGGACAGGAGGAUUAGCAUAGCCCCUGCAGAAGGAUGACAUUCAAAUUCGUGAAGUGCUCCAUAUUUUU
rnacentral:snRNA from 1 species